rnacentral:rRNA from 1 species
UAACCGGAUUAGAUACCCUGGUAGUCCACGCCGUAAACGAUGGAAGCUAGCCGUCGGGCAGUUUACUGUUCGGUGGCGCAGCCAACGCAUUAAGCUUCCCGCCUGGGGAGUACGGUCGCAAGAUUAAAACUCAAAGGAAUUGACGGGGGCCCGCACAAGCGGCGGAGCAUGCGGUUUAAUUCGAAGCAACGCGCAGAACCUUACCAGCCCUUGACAUCCCGAUCGCGGUUUCCAGAGAUGGAUUCCUUCAGUUCGGCUGGAUCGGUGACAGGUGCUGCAUGGCUGCCGUCAGCUCGUGUCGUGAGAUGUUGGGUUAAGUCCCGCAACGAGCGCAACCCUCGCCCUUAGUUGCCAGCAUUUAGUUAGGCACUCUAAGGGGACUGCCGGUGAUAAGCCGAGAGGAAGGUGGGGAUGACG